UACGGAGGAUCCGAGCGUUAUCCGGAUUUAUUGGGUUUAAAGGGUGCGUAGGCGGUCUUUUAAGUCAGUGCUGAAAUACUCCAGCUUAACUGGAGGGGUGGCAUUGAUACUGGAAGACUUGAGUGCAGUCGAGGUAGGCGGAAUUGACGGUGUAGCGGUGAAAUGCUUAGAUAUCGUCAAGAACACCGAUAGUGAAGACAGCUUACUAGGCUGCAACUGACGCUGAGGCACGAAAAUGUGGGGAUCAAACAGG
rnacentral:rRNA from 1 species